GACGAACGCUGGCGGCGUGCUUAACACAUGCAAGUCGAACGAAGUGGCCAACGGGUUAGUAAUACGUGGGUAACCUGCUCUCCGUGUAGGGAUAAGCCUAGGAAACGGGGUCAAAUACCGAAUAAAGGGGGAUGGGCUCGCGGCCUAUCAGGUUGUUGGUGGGGUGAUGGCGUACGAAGGCGGUGACGGGUAGCGGGCCUGAGAGGGUACACGGGCACUGUGGGACGGUCAUGCCGCCCAGGGUACUAAGGGAGGGAGAAGUGGGGGAUAUUGCAGAAUGCGCGAUGGACUGAUGCAGCGACGCUGCGUAGGGGAUGAAGGCUUUAGGGUUGUAAAACUCUUUCGGUAUCGAACGGGUAGGUGGAGAAGAAGCGCCGGCUAACUACGUGCCAGCAGCCGCGGUAAUUC
rnacentral:rRNA from 1 species